UUGAUUGUUGUGAUUUGCCAUGCCAUGCAUAACUUAAUUGGACAUGCAUCAUAUGUGUUUGUGCAUCAUGUCAUGCGUAUAUUGUCGUGUUUAUUGUGUGUUGAUUGUUGUUUCCGGAUUGCUUCUUAUCGAUAGAGUUCCGCAAACGUGUCGGAGUGUGAGGAUUCUUUCAACUACACUAGUUUGUCAGCUUCACGGAUUCGUUCUUCUUCCAAGCGGGAUCACACGCAAAAUGAUCAUUUCCCUAGAUACCAUUACUAUCGUUGACAGGCUAGUUGUCUCAUUUGUUUCACUAUGUAU
rnacentral:lncRNA from 1 species